GGAAGGAGCUGACCCCAACUGCUUUUUAAGAGUUGUGUUCCUCCUAAAGUUCCUUUUGAUAAUGGGAGGGAAAAUUUGCUGGACUGCCUGCUGGAAGGUGAAGGAUGUGUCCUUGCCUGGACAUUGCAAGCUUAUGCUGAGGAUUUCUUAAGGAAAUAAGUGUGACACCACCAGCCUUUGUCCUUUUUCUGACUGUACCAUUGAACUCCAGGACAUCUUUGAUACAGUGUGAAGAGUCUCAAAGACAGGGUACUGGGAGACUUUCAAUAGAAAUGACAAGUCUGAAAUUGGAAAGAUUUUCCUAAAAGCUCACAGAACUAGAUUUUUGAACAUCCUUUAACAGUUUAAAGCACAAACAUUCUGCCCAGAAAAGACAGGGCAAAUUGUACCGAUGAGAUCUGGUCUAUUGGCUGCCAAAUGAGUAACACUGAAUUGCAAGAAAAAAUACUUUGUACCUACCGUAUUCCAGUGGGAUGACUCUCAUCUCUUUCACUAAGGGUCAUCUUUAGCUGAGAUACUUUCUGAGCAAUCUGGGUAGAGACGUGGCCACACUGAGGUCAUUAGAAAAGUUAAAUUCAUGUUAUUUUACUGUAUAUUGUUCCAUGUAGUACUUGUAUUACUAAUAGUUAUAUAUCAAUUCAGUCUGUGUUGUUUAUUUUUUUACUUUUAAUGGGAGGAGAACAGAAAGAAUUUUAGCGUUAAUCAGAGAGCUGAAUAUUAUAUCAGUUUUCAUUCACAUGCAAAGUAAAUAUUCAUUACCAUCUCUGGCAUGUGUAGUUCACUGUGUAAUGUUAUAAUAUGCUUAUAUUAUAAU